rnacentral:rRNA from 1 species
UACGUAGGCAGCAAGCGUUGUUCGGAGUUACUGGGCGUAAAGGGUGCGUAGGCGGCUUUUUAAGUUUGGUGUGAAAUCUCCCGGCUCAACUGGGAGGGUGCGCCGAAUACUGAGAGGCUAGAGUGUGGGAGAGGAAAGUGGAAUUCCUGGUGUAGCGGUGAAAUGCGUAGAUAUCAGGAGGAACACCGGUGGUCGUAAAGCGGCU